rnacentral:lncRNA from 10 species
GAAAAAAGGGAUGGGUAAUGUAAAAAUCUGAAACAAUUUUUAAGUUCUGGGCAAUCAUUCUGCAAGUCCUGCCAGGUGACAGGAGUAAAUAGGGUGUCUAUAACCCAGCAGUUUCGUUUUUGGGAAAAUAAGACCAAAGGAGCUAACCAAAGCUAAGCCCAUGCACUCAAAUCUUAGCAGGCAUAACCAUAGCCCCCAGUUAUCUGGGCGUGUCAGCAGCCUCAGGAUUUUGGAGCUGCCCUUAUCCCCCCUCUUUUGUUUUGUUUUGAUACAUGUCCUCUUUUUUUCUUUUUUUCAAGAUGGAGUCUUGCUUGCUCUGUCACCCAGGCUGGAGUACGAUGGCGCAAUUUCAUCUCACUGCAACCUC